UUCUGGAUCACUGUUAUCAAUUCAACAGUGCUCAUAACCUUUUAACCAAGAGCAGCCAUCCUAAGAAACUAUUUUCUUAUCCCCCCAUAAGAAACAAGACCUCGUUCACUGAUGUUUUACCGCGAGACUGCGCAGUUUGACCACAUCUUCAGACUGGACAUCUCCGCCUGGUUCUCCCCAUAGCCUGUCUUUCCUCAUCUUCAGAUAUUUCUUCUGCUGGAGGCUCAAAGCCCUGAGAAUCAUGGAUGAUGGCUGAAGUCAACUUCUUCCAAACUCCUGUCGAUGCUGACAUCCUACGUCCUCCCACAGAUUAUGGAUGUUUUUAUGGACAUCUAGACUAGUCGGUCCUUCUCUGAAGAUUUUCUAUUGAAUUUCCCCAGAUCCACCAGAAGAAUCGUUUUCACGGCCGCUUUCCUCUACAGAAUAUAGUCCUUAAAUAGUAGGGCUGAAACGUUGAAAUCAUUCCUCCAUCUGUGGCCUGCAGGAUGGAUGUUGUAUUUCCAGACAAAGAAACAUUAAUCUCACCAUGCAGCUCCACUCUGCUAAAUGUAAAUGACCAGGAAGAUUAUCAAUGAGUUAUAUAUAUAUAUAUAUAUAUAUAUAUAUAUAUACUUAAAAAAUCUUUCUUUCCCCUUGAUUUGUAGAUCUCAAAAAAAAAAAAAAAAUGGGCUUGAAAUAUCCAGUAAACCAGGCUGUAUCCAGACAGGCUGUCACCACACCCGCUCACUCUGUUCAGAAAGCACAGGCAGAGCAAGGAUAACAACAUUCUUAAGGGUUCCAGAACUUUCGGCACAGCCACUAGUGAGCAUUGGCUUCAACUUCAGGUGACCAGCAGCACUGCCCUGAGCAAGGGUCAGCCUUGGCGGUUUGCCUUCUCGCUGGUCACCACAGUGCCAGGCUGUUUUUCUGGACAGGGCCGACCAUCCGAGGAGCUGACUGGAUCUUCUGAAGUGUGUGCUGCAGCCCUUACGACACCACUUCCUGCCUGACCUUUCACCUCCAGGUUUCUGCUUUCUUACUUGCUCGCUUCCAAUUUCCCUCCACAGCUUUUCCUUGAACAGCUCGGCUGUGACCAAAGACCGCGCCCGAGCUUCCAGCCCUGUUCAGUUUGCCUUCCACACUGAGCAUGGCCAUUUCUAGCUUUUGACGUACAAUGAGAAAUGCGUGAUUCCGCCUUCGACCAGAAACUUAGAACGCACGCACUGUAGGGUUGUUCACCGGCCUCAUUCCAGAACCGCGUGUCUCUGAGAAUAAAGAGACCUGAGGAGGGGAAAAGAGAGGUGGAUGGGUCGACGGUGGAACAGUCAGAGCACACACGCCUGAGAAGUCAUGCCCAUCUGUGGCCCAGUCAACUACAAUUCUAUUUGCUCAGCUUUGUGAUAUCCACCAGCCACACGGGCCUGCUUGCUAGUCUACCUUGAGAACUUUGCCCCGGUUGCUUCCAUGAUUUGAGGACUCUUCUUCCGUAUCCUCACAACACCUUCCUCAACAGCCCACGCACUUGCUUAAACGU